rnacentral:rRNA from 1 species
UACGUAGGGGCAAGCGUUGUCCGGAAUCAUUGGGCGUAAAGAGCGUGUAGGCGGUCCGGUAAGUCGGCUGUGAAAACCCGGAGCUCAACUCCGGGCCUGCAGUCGAUACGGGCGGACUGGAGUGUUGCAGGGGAGACUGGAAUUCCUGGUGUAGCGGUGAAAUGCGUAGAUAUCAAGAGGAACACCGUGGCGAAGGCGAGUCCCUGGACAACACCUGACACUGAGGCAACGAAAGCUAGGGGAGCAAACAGG